GGAUGCCUACGGGGGGCAGCAGUGGGGGAUAUUGCACAAUGGGGGGAACCCUGAUGCAGCGACGCCGCGUGGGUGAAGAAGCGCCUCGGCGCGUAAAGCCCUGUCAGCAGGGAAGAACGGUCACUGUGCUAAUCAGCAGUGAAUUGACGGUACCUGCAAAGGAAGCACCGGCUAACUCCGUGCCAGCAGCCGCGGUAAUACGGAGGGUGCGAGCGUUAAUCGGAAUUACUGGGCGUAAAGCGCUCGUAGGCGGUAUGUCAAGUCAAGGGUGAAA
rnacentral:rRNA from 1 species